UGCUCUUGUAUGUUUACAGCUUUCUAAUUCCUUCAUGGCUGUUUAGUGGAGCCUGAAGGGUGGGGCCUCGUGUGGCCCGUCUGCCCUCCUUCAGGCUGUGCCGCACUGGUGCGUUUGGUGUGUGCUUGGUGAGAGUCUUUGGGUCCUGCUCGGAGGAGGCAGGAGCGUGAACGGCGCUCCCAGGGCCAACCAACGGUCUGUGGUCAUCAGCAGGCCUGGAGCUGCCUGUGCAGGGUGGAGGGGGCUGUUCUGGUCUUGGCCUCACCUCCUCUGCCACAGCUGCAAGUUUAAGUGCCUAACCCAUCAGGGUCAAACCCAGGGGAGUGCUUCCGCUGGCAAGAAGGCCCACACAGAGAGGCGAGCCCUGACUUCCGCUGUGCGCCCAGCACUGUGACCCAGAAGGCCGGCCCCAGCGUUGGUCCUCGCGGGACGCUUGUGUGGACCCCGGUGAGGAGCAAAGGUGAACAUGCUUGUCGUGGUGCAGCACACAGUGACCUGCGGCUGAUUCCAGCUUCAGCUUGUUCUCUGUAGACCAGAAAAAGGCAGCUGUGAGCAGCGUGCGGGGAGAAUGGUCCCAGGGGCUCGGCCUCCCACCUGCCUGUCUCAGGACCCCAGGGCGCUCCGGACCCCAGGUUCUACUGAUGAAUUCAUUUAACUUUGACCUGGGAAGAAAAGUCAUAAAUUCACAUCCAUGAACAGGAGGAGAAGAAGGGGAACUGCUAUAGAGACUGCACAGUGAUGACCCCUGCAUGCAUUUUUCAGUCAACAAGAGCAUCUCGUGACUUCUGUGUUGGUGGGACCUACGUAUAGGAUAAGACAGUGCUCCUGAGAUCAUGCUAUGUUGUGUAUAAAGGGAUUCCGCAGAUGUAGUCGGGGCCCCAGGUUCAAGUGGCCCGUAGCAACUUAGAGUGAUCUUUCAACAG
rnacentral:lncRNA from 1 species